AAGUAAAUGGAAAGGAACAAGGGAAUAAGGAAGACAUCAAAGAGGAAGAAAAGUUGGUCGGUGGAGACAAGGGGGCCGAUGUCAGUGAGGAUGAAAAGGCAGAGAAUGCGGAUGAAAAUAACAAAGAAGCACCGAAGGAAAAUAAUGAGGAGGAAACAAAUAAAGAAGAGGAAGUGAAGGAAACAAGCAAAGAAGAGGAAGUGACUGAAGUUGAUGAGCUUUACGUGAA
rnacentral:lncRNA from 1 species